rnacentral:rRNA from 1 species
UACGAAGGGGGCUAGCGUUGUUCGGAAUUACUGGGCGUAAAGCGCGUGUAGGCGGGUCCUUAAGUCAGGGGGGAAAUGCCAAGGCUCAACCUUGGAACUGCCUUUGAUACUGGGGAUCUUGAGUCCGGGAGAGGUGAGUGGAACUGCGAGUGUAGAGGUGAAAUUCGUAGAUAUUCGCAAGAACACCAGUGGCGAAGGCGGCUCACUGGCCCGGUACUGACGCUGAGAUGCGAAAGCGUGGGGAGCAAGCAGG